rnacentral:lncRNA from 1 species
UGAAGACAACCAAAACAAGAGAUCACUUCUACCCUGAAUGAUUCAUUCUGUUUUACAGUGAGCAGAAGCAGCAGAGCUGGGAACAGUGAGCAGAUGUCCUGAGCUGGCCUGAGAAAGCCCAGGCAGCCACACCAAUACAACCACCAGCACACAGACAAUCUCGCAGCCUGUCAGUCAGCAUCACGUGAGCAGUCCCCCAUCCAUUGCUCCUGGGACCCAGGGGGUGAUUUGGAAAGGAUCUGCUGGGCUGUCACUCACCUCCAUCUGCCUUCAGGAGAAGGAUUCUGGGUUCCAUGCUGUUUCCUCUUGUGCCUGCAUGGCUUUGAUCACAAUUUGCUUCUCAGGCCUUCAGAAUCACAGCUGCCCUGUAAGGUUUGCCCAUAAUCCUGUUGACAUGUUGUUCCCUGGCAAGCUCUGGACUCUACUUGCUCCCAGUUUGGGAUUAACUGCUAUUUCUGA